rnacentral:rRNA from 1 species
UACAGAGGGUGCAAGCGUUAAUCGGAAUUACUGGGCGUAAAGCGUGCGUAGACGGUUGCGUAAGUCAGAUGUGAAAGCCCCCGGCUCAACUGGGGAGGGUCAUUCGAUACUGUCCGACUCGAAGGCAGGAGAGGGAAGCGGAAUUCCCGGUGUAGUGGUGAAAUGCGUAGAUAUCGGGAGGAACACCAGUGGCGAAGGCGACUUCCUGGCCUGUUCUUGACGCUGAGGCGCGAAAGCUAGGGGAGCAAACGGG